AUUACGGGAGGCAGCAGUGGGGAAUCUUAGACAAUGGGCGAAAGCCUGAUCUAGACAUGCCGCGUGAGUGACGAAGGUCUUAGGAUCGUAAAGCUCUUUCGCCAGAGAUGAUAAUGACAGUAUCUGGUAAAGAAACCCCGGCUAACUCCGUGCCAGCAGCCGCGGUAAU
rnacentral:rRNA from 1 species